UACGUAGGAGGCAAGCGUUGUCCGGAAUCACUGGGCGUAAAGCGCGUGUAGGCGGCUCGCUAAGUCUGUGGUGAAAGCGCCUGGCUUAACCGGGCGAGGUCCAUGGAAACUAGCGGUCUGGAGGCCGGUAGAGGGGGGUGGAAUUCCGGGUGUAGUGGUGAAAUGCGUAGAGAUCCGGAGGAACACCGGUGGCGAAGGCGGCAUCCUGGACCGGUAUUGACGCUGAUGCGCGAAAGCCAGGGGAGCAAACGGG
rnacentral:rRNA from 1 species